ACUCAGGUGUGCAGAAAAAGGAGCAGGCGCCCCACACCCCUAGCCCCUAGGCGUCGGGCUACCUCGUGCUGGUGGGAAGACCGGAAUGGGGCACGUCAGGGCGGGUUCACUGGGGAAAUAGCGGAGGACGCCUCUUUCCUUCCCAAACCCAUUCCCCAAAGGAGAAGGAAGGAGCGUGUUUCCACCUCUCAGUGACCCUGACUGCCCGUCCCCACCCCAACUCCAGCCUCGUAACGUUUCCGGCAAUUCCGGGACAACCCGAAGGGCAUCAAGGCGGAGGCGCUCAAUUCCCUUCUCAGUGCCUACCACCCCGGCCCCCCGAGGCCGGGGGAAGGCGGCUCCGCGGAUAGACUGACCUGCGAGGUGGCACGGUUUCCAGCAGCGCGUGAUGGCCAGCUCCGAAAUAGGGCUGGAGCCUUCGUGGAAGGCAAGACGUCUCCAGGAAGUCGGAGGCCUCGCCUGGACACCUGCUGCUCUGGGAGCUUGAGCACCCACUCUGGAGCCUCUAGGUGUCGUCUGAGCCAGGGGAGCUGGGAUUAGGAUGGGGACCGAGAAGGGUGCCUCCUUUGCCCAGCCCUGCUAUACCUGGGGCCUCGGCAGAGCUGGGGUUUCCUCACAGCGUGCGUACUUGAGACUGAGGGUCGACGAGUGGAGUCAACUCCCAGCGCUCACGCCCCCCGCUCGCCUAGGACAGCUGGGGUAGCCGAGGCGUAGCCCGUUUGCACAGUCAAGCCAGAGAAUCCGAACGCGCCAUCCCUCCCAUCUGGCUGUUAAGACCAAACAAAGCAAGGCGGGAGGAGUUAGAGUUACCAGCCGAAGGCCACGGAGCUCAUGUGUUUGCUGAAGCAAAAUUUGAAUUCAGGUCACCAGACCAAACACUCUCUACCACCUCCCAGCCACACCAAGUGGGAAACCUCUGAUGGAGGAAAAUCAAAGUCUGAGGCCAGGAAACGUGAAUGUUACUACUGCUCAUUGGAUAAGGCAUGAGGACGGAAUGGACACCCUUUCCAGCUCUAACCACCCUCUCGGAGGCUCCAGAGCCGAAUUGUAUUGGGGUCAUUAAAGACCGAGGAAGGUUUGGAUCCAUCGGAGCCACCGGUGGCUGUGGGACUUCAGGCAAACCUCUUAAACUCCCAGCACUGGUUUUUCUUCUUUGAAAUAUAGCCGGGGAGUGGUCCACACAGACACAUUUGAGUGGCAGGGUCAACUAUCCUGACACAGAGGUCUUCUGCAGGUGGUGAUCGCUCUCAUAGUGUUUCCGUGCUCCACCCCCGCCUGCUAUUUUGUGGCCCUGGCUAAGAUGUCCCACAGCGGAGUUUGUACGACAAAAAAUGUAAAAGACACAGGGAAAGCAAAACAGAGACCGUUUCUGGGAAGACAUGGAUCAGCAACCAAAGAGCAUGCUAUCAAAUUUAACCAAAGAGUCAUCCAGCCCAAGGAACUAGUUUCGCAAACACUUUCUCCUGUUAAUCUAAAUCUAGAAGGAGAGAGAAAGGACUCUCUUCUUGUCAUUCUCACUUCAUUAGACUCGCAGACAGAGAUUCUGGGAAGCUGACAGGGUAAGAAAUCUUACCUUCUGCCAGCUGUACAUCAGAUGUCCCACGGGAUUUCAGCUGAGAUUUCAGUGUCAGAGUGACCGGUAUCCAGUGACUUAAAACACCCUGCUGACUAUGCCAACUGUCAGGGAGCCAGAAUUCCUGUCCCCUCAAAGGCCCUUCUCACUGGACUAAGAAUUAAGUUGACAUGAGACAGAUUAACAAGAGAAAAUCAAAUUUAAUAGUGUAUAAACGGGGAACCCACACAGACACAGAAAUUCCAAAAACAGUCAGGCAAAAGGAGGUAUAUAUGUCUCCUGAACUCAGGAGAAUGGGAUAGGGGUCUGGGACUUCAAAGGGGGAAAAAUGCCUUUGACGGGGCAAUAAGAAAAAAAGCAGAUGUUUGGUAAUUAGGUUUUUGCCCUGAUAUGGAUGGGUCACUCAGAUGAAAUUUAUCUCUGGUAAUAACCAUUAUUCUGGGAAAGACCUUCUCUAAUUUAGAUUCUUCCAUGUAGUUAAGGGAGGAGCAAAAAGUUUCUCUGGAGCUCACAGGAUCUUGAUUACUUUCGGCUCAAAAUAGUCUUAAUGCCAAAGUGGCCCAACUUGGGGCAGCCUCUCCUUGACUAAUAGCACUGGUAAUAGCACCAACCACUGCCCUGUGUCCAACAGGCUUAAAUCUGCUGGGACAAUUAGCCUAGAAAAUUCAUGAGUCAAGAUGUCCAUACGGUGGACUCCACAAAGUCUGAAGAGGAGGGAAAGAUAAAGCCAGAAAGCCAGUAGACUAAAGUGUGUGUACUAUGGCUAUUUAGGGAAUACAAUAAUUUAGACAUAUAUGAAUGUAUUGUUUUUUUCUACGUAUUUAGUCCAAAUGUUUGUUAAGAUGUCUGAAAACAAAUCCAGGCCAUCCCCUGCCCCAUCUUAUUUUUAUCCUAAAGGCAGUGUUACAGGGAUAUCCAAAUGUUUGGAGAGGAAGAUCUUAAAUACACAAAGAUUUCCCAGUUUAUCACCGCAUGCAUGAUGUAAAUAAUCCCUUACAGUGCUGAUCUGGGUAAAGUCCUUUUAACUCUGAAUUAUAAUUCACUUCAGGAUGGGGCCUUAGAUUCCAGACAUUAGUCGCAGAAAAUUGUAGAGAAAAAGCUAUGAUAUUCGUGACCUAGAAAGAGCAGCAACAGCUUCUAAUGUCCACUCAUCCUUGGUGUCAUGUGAUAUGUUUCAGAAACUCACUUAAAAUUGAGAAAAUAAGCCGUUUCUAAUUGUCCUUAAGUAAGGAAAUAGUUCAUUUAUGACUCUAAGAAGAUUAGAGAAUCUUUAGAGUGCUUGUUUAGAAAUUAUGCCAAAUUUUUUUUUCAGCGAUACAAACAUGGUUUUCCCUUUUCCUUAGGAAGGAAAAAAAAAAACCCCAAAACCUUUAAUAAAGCCAAAUAUUAAAAAAAAAAAAGCCUUCACAUGCAAUUACACCAUUCAAGGAUCACUUCUGCUUUGAGUGUGAGAUUUUGCACGUUAUAUUAUGUAACUUUGGAACAGAGGUUUCCUGUCUCAUUCACCAUGCUCUUCCCUCAAUGCUCAGCACAAAGUAGGUGUCAGUAAAUAUGUAUUGAAUGAGUGAAUAAAUGAUAUGCCACUGAUCUGUA